AUUGAACGCUGGCGGCAGGCCUAACACAUGCAAGUCGAGCGAUCGGCGGACGGGUGAGUAAUGUAUGGGGUCUGCUCGACAGAGGGGGAUAACUACUGGAAACGGUAGCUAAUACCGCAUACUAUCGGCUUACCCAUAUGGGAUUAGCUCGUAGGUGUGGCAAUGGCUCACCUAGUCGACGAUCCCUAGCUGGUCUGAGUGGAUGAUCAGCCAAGCUGGGACUGAUACACGGCCCGUACUCCGACGGAGGCGUCAGUGGGGAAUAUUGCACAAUGGGCGCAAGCCUAAUACAGCCAUGCCGCGUAUAUGAAAAAGGCCCUAGGGUUGUAAAGUACGUUCAGUCGGGAGACGUUACCGACAGAAGAAGCACCGGCUAACUCCGUGCCAGCCGCCGCGGUAAUUC
rnacentral:rRNA from 1 species